GGAGGUGUGGCUGAGUGGCUAAAGGCGACGGAUUGCUAAUCCGUUGAGUCGCAAGACUCUCAUGGGUUCGAAUCCCAUCACCUCCG
rnacentral:tRNA from 1 species